UAAAACUAGAACAAAUUUGUUUCUGUGGAAAGGGAAAUAUGGCCGCAACAAACAAAAAUGAUAGGACAUGGCUCUGACAGGUGACAAUCCAGAAGAAUAGCUCUUGAGUGCCCUAUCUGAUUCUUGGGAAACUAGAGGAUGUCAUCGUCGCCCUAGCCCCCUGCGUCACCACCCCUCUGGUUGCAACACAGAAGCUUUUUGGGAAGUGAUACUAACAAGAAUCAGAUUUUCCUGGACCCGUAACAGAGGAAACAACUUCUGGCACAGUAAUUCUUUGAACUGGAACCAUGAGGGCAAGUACUAACGUAUCCUUCUAUUGCAUGCAAUGUCUUAUGCACAAAA